AGCGGUCCUUAGCAGAGUAGAUGGGAGAGCGAAGAGAAAUUCCUACUUAGCUGCUGCAGAACUGGCCUUGAGCAUGCUCAGAGCAAGCUGAAUGUCAUCUGCCAGGGAUAAAGCGAUCCAUCUGAGACCACGGAGACAACGUCUACAAGAAUCUCAUCAUUCCUCUCUGCGGAUUGUGUUAUCCAACUACCCCAGACUAGUAUACUUGACUUUGGAGUCAAGCGGCAUGUGCAACCUGGGAAAUGUUACUGCAGGAUAAUUAGCUUGAGCAAGUGUAUCCUGGGCUGAGCUUGCCAGGCCUGGUGUUCCGUCCAGGCAUCUCUCCUGCUGGUGAAGAGGGUCUGUUGCCCGUCCGUGCGGGCUGACACUGUGGUGUAGUUUCAGCAGUGCACUGACAUCAGAAAACCAUAAGCUGGAGAAAUCUGGGUACCAGGCCCGGGAGACAAGAGAAGGAAGAGCUGGUCCUGGGACUAGGCAAAGAGCUCACUUCGUUUAUGGCUGCGCAGCUCAUACCA